rnacentral:rRNA from 1 species
AGUGAACGCUGGCGGUAGGCCUAACACAUGCAAGUCGAACGGCAGCACAGUAAGAGCUUGCUCUUACGGGUGGCGAGUGGCGGACGGGUGAGGAAUACAUCGGACUCUACUUUUUCGUGGGGGAUAACGUAGGGAAACUUACGCUAAUACCGCAUACGACCUACGGGUGAAAGCAGGGGAUCUUCGGACCUUGCGCGAUUGAAUGAGCCGAUGUCGGAUUAGCUAGUUGGCGGGGUAAAGGCCCACCAAGGCGACGAUCCGUAGCUGGUCUGAGAGGAUGAUCAGCCACACUGGAACUGAGACACGGUCCAGACUCCUACGGGAGGCAGCAGUGGGGAAUAUUGGACAAUGGGCGCAAGCCUGAUCCAGCCAUACCGCGUGGGUGAAGAAGGCCUUCGGGUUGUAAAGCCCUUUUGUUGGGAAAGAAAAGCAGCAGGUUAAUACCCCGCUGUUCUGACGGUACCCAAAGAAUAAGCACCGGCUAACUUCGUG